rnacentral:rRNA from 1 species
GACGAACGCUGGCGGCGUGCUUAACACAUGCAAGUCGAACGGUAAGGCCCUUCGGGGUACACGAGUGGCGAACGGGUGAGUAACACGUGGGUGAUCUGCCCUGCACUUCGGGAUAAGCCUGGGAAACUGGGUCUAACACCGGAUAGGACUCCUGGCUUCAUGGUUGGGGGUGGAAAGCUUUGGCGGUGUGGGAUGGGCCCGCGGCCUAUGAGCUUGUUGGUGGGGUAAUGGCCUACCAAGGCGACGACGGGUAGCCGGCCUGAGAGGGUGACCGGUCACACUGGGACUGAGAUACGGCCCAGACUCCUACGGGAGGCAGCAGUGGGGAAUAUUGCACAAUGGGCGCAAGCCUGAUGCAGCGACGCCGCGUGAGGGAUGACGGCCUUCGGGUUGUAAACCUCUUUCAGCUAUGACGAAGCGCAAGUGACGGUAGUAGCAGAAGAAGGACCGGCCAACUACGUGCCAGCCGCCGCGGUAA